GACGGAGACUGAGCGGUAGAGAAGACGAGAGUCACCACCACCGGUCUCCUCUCUCUCACCGCCUCUCUCCUCUCUGCGCCACGCCGGAUCUCUCUCUCUCUCUCCCUGCCUCGCUAUGUCACGGGCAAAUCUCUCUCUCUCUCGCUCUCUGAAUCUGUCUCUGUCUCUCUCUCUCUGCGAGUUUUGAUUUCGAUUUGUUUUUGUCUUGGUAAAGAAAGUUGGAGGAGGACGGAGAAGAAGCUUCACGGGGUGGAGGAAGCUGAUAACAGACGAAGUCGCUUCCUUUUUUUGUCGUUGUUAAGGCUCUAAAGGACAAUUUGGUUACAACAAAUCGGG
rnacentral:lncRNA from 1 species